AUGGAGUGGACGGCCCCGAAGUCCACCCCGCUCUCCCCGCCCCACCUCCUCUGGGACUGGGGCGACGCCGCCGCGCCGGGCUCCUCCGGCGAGGCGGCGGGGAGGCGCGGGAAGGAGAAGCGGGCCAGGGGGGAGGGGGCCGGCGGAGGAGGCGGAGGAGGAGGGGGCGUGAGGUGCCAGGUGGAGGGCUGCGGGGUCGAGCUCCGCGACGCGAAGGAGUACCACCGGAAGCACCGGGUCUGCGAGGCCCACACCAAGUUCCCCCGCGUCGUCGUCGCCGGCCAGGAGCGCCGCUUCUGCCAGCAGUGCAGCCGGUUCCAUGCGCUGUCGGAGUUCGACCAGAAGAAGAGGAGCUGCCGGAGGCGACUGUCCGACCACAAUGCUCGGCGCAGGAAGCCACAGCCGGACGCAUUCUCCUUUGCACCGGCAAGGCUCCCGUCGUCAUUGAUGUUUGAUGAUAGACGGCAAAUAAGUUUUGUCUGGAAUAAAGAUCCAAGCCAUGCAAGGCCUUUCCCAUGUUCUCCAUGGGACAGCCCAUCUGACUUCAAGCUCCCGCAAGUGAAGGAAAUAAGAGAGGUAUCAAUCAAUGGACAAGUUCAUUUUGAUAAAUCUCAUCUACCUAAUGCUGUUCCAGCACUGAGUCAUGACAUAGCUGAGCUGCUACCAAUGAAAGGUCCGGACGCAUCUGUAACCGCUUCGAAAUUAGGUGGAGCACCGGAUCUUCAGCAUGCUCUCUCUCUUCUGUCAGCUAGUUCUUGUGGAUUACCUGAUCCUGUACAGCAAGCAUCUUGUCUCGUCCAAUUCACUGGUGCCAGCCAAAACAGCCGGGGCCCUUCACCACAUGGAGGGAGCCCUCCGUCGGCGUCCUGUGCCGAAGGACAGCCCAUGGUGCCAUCGCCUCAGUUCGUCCGUUUCACCAUGGAUGGCGCCAGCAGUGGUUAUGAAUCUACUUUCUUCGGCGUAAACCGGAUGAAUUGA
rnacentral:rRNA from 1 species